rnacentral:lncRNA from 1 species
GGGGAAGGCCCCUCUAGUGUUGCCACACUGUCCUGUGAUGGAUGGGGGAUGGGGCGUGUGUUGGUUUCUGGGGUCUCAAUCAGGAAGUAGUGCUUUAUUUCACAUGAAAAUGACAAAGAAAUCUAACCGGCUUGUCACACCGAGAAGCUAAUCACCAAUUAGAUGCUGGACCUUCCUCCUUCAGUCUCUCUAGACCUAUAGGGGGCAGCUCUUCAUUUUGUGCCCAGAAGAUUUGAGGAACCACUUGGUAUUGAGACAGCACAGAUCCAGACAGAGAAAGACGAUCUCCUAAACACAGCCCUCUGGAAAGUACCCAGCCAGUCACAACGACAGUCUCCUCAUGAGAAAAUAAGUACUACUCUGGGAAAAUCUGUUUUUAAUGACAUAUAUACAUGGGUCUGUUGCAGCAAAAAAAUAACUUCUUGUGUACCCAGAAAAGACUUCUGAACGGGUAAGUUCAUGUGAACUCAGUUCCUCAGGUGGGAUCUCAACAGAGAGUUUGAGAAUUAAAGU